GAUGAACGCUGGCGGCGUGCUUAACACAUGCAAGUCGAACGGAAAGGCCCAAGCUUGCUUGGGUACUCGAGUGGCGAACGGGUGAGUAACACGUGGGUGAUCUGCCCUGCACUUCGGGAUAAGCCUGGGAAACUGGGUCUAAUACCGGAUAGGACGAUGGUUUGGAUGCCAUUGUGGAAAGUUUUUUCGGUGUGGGAUGAGCUCGCGGCCUAUCAGCUUGUUGGUGGGGUAAUGGCCUACCAAGGCGUCGACGGGUAGCCGGCCUGAGAGGGUGUACGGCCACAUUGGGACUGAGAGACGGCCCAGAGUCCUACGGGGGGGAGGAGUGGGGGAUAGUGCACAAUGGCCGCAAGUCUGAUGCAGCGACGCCGGGUGGGGGAUGACGUCCUUCGGGGUGUAAGCACCUUUCGCAAGGGACAAAGCGGUGUUGUGACGGGAACUGAUGAAGAAGCAACGGCUAACUACGUG
rnacentral:rRNA from 1 species